rnacentral:rRNA from 1 species
AUUGAACGCUGGCGGCAGGCCUAACACAUGCAAGUCGAGCGAGCGGCGGACGGGUGCGGAAUGCCUGGGAAUUGCCCAGUCGAGGGGGAUAACGGUUGAAAACGACUGCUAAUACCUCAUACGGCUGGAUUUCCCAGGUGGGGGUGGCUAGUUGGUGAGGUAAUGGCUUACCAAGGCCACGGUCCAUAGCUGGUCUGGGAGGAUGAUCGGCCACACUGGAACGGAGACACGGUCCAGACUCCUACGGGAGGCAGCAGUAGGGAAUCUUGCACAAUGGGCGAAAGCCUGAUCCAGCCAUGCCGCGUGAGUGAAGAAGGUCUUCGGAUCGUAAAGCACUUUUAGUAGGGAGGCGUUACCUAAACAGAAAGCACCGGCUAACUCCGUGCCAGCAGCCGCGGUAAUAC